GUCCCAAAGGCACCUCUAGACUCUCGCCAGCUCUGCUUUCACACCAGAAGCAGAUCUGGCGGUUUGUUUGAAACCCGAAGCUGUUUCUUACGGGUUUGAAACGAAAGACAAAUUGUGGGAUCUUUCAGAUGGACCGCAGGUCGAUACUGCAAACGUUCGAGCCGCCGCAUGAUGUGUGGGAAAACAACGGAUAAGAAAAUUAGCAAAAGUAAACGUUGAACACGCUGGAAGGGCAGGAACGCCCGUAUUCAAAGUAUUGAUGUGCUUCUGCAAACCCUGAACACACGCACAACCAUUUGCAUUCAAACGUGUUUCGUUUGGUAGGAAGCACAAUGCUGCUCUGUUGUGUCAAGUGCUAACUGCCAUAUGUCCCAGCGGCGCUCGCCUCACAAGGAAGUCUUGACGAGUUCCUCCCCAGCCUGACUCCGACCAAUGAGAAGGAGCAGUGGUCUGUCUGUGUGUCGGUUUUCCAUGUGCUCUCACGUCGCCUAGCAACAGUGAAAGACCACGGAGAAGUAAAUGUAAACGUCAGUCUGCUGACGUCACCCUCAGAGGUCUCUGGAAAUUUUUUUACCAAACUCAUUUUAUCCACCUCCGGGACAGUCUGGCCCUCGGAGAGCAGGAGAAAUGUCAAGAGGUCCCACUCUGUUUACAUUUCCAGAGCCGACCACCCCCGAACAACGUUGAGUGUGUUCUCACUUAACUAGGAAUGAAAAGUAAACACAAUAUGAGUUUAAUUAUUGUUAAUUGAGUUGUACUCGCAUUGCGUUGAUGUCAUUGUGAUUUG